UUAAUAAGACUAGCCUAUAAU
rnacentral:piRNA from 1 species